GCGCCAUGGGGGUGACUCGCGGAGCGGGGCUGUCUCCUCAGGCGUCGCCGCUCGAGCAGGACUCGUGCAUUGGGAGCCCGGGUGGCUGGAGCCGAAUCGCUUUAGACCCUGCCGGGAACCAGGACCAGCAGAGCCCGGCGGCUCCCAGCGCUGUGCCCUUGGCAGCGCUUGUGACCUUGGUCCUGGCUUAGAAGUGAAGCUUUAACUUCAGUAGUGGCGAGGGGGAAUGCUUCCUACCGGCCCGUACGCAGCCGACCGUGCAGG